UAGAAGCAGAGAUAUGAAUGUCAACAGGAGCCAUGUCCAGCGUUAUUUAAUUUUAGAAAAGCAGAUUCUGAAAACAGAAAUGCUUGGUGCUGAAGACCUGAAGAAUUGAAAACACUUCCUCACAAAAUCCUUGACAAUAUCAGAAAGUCCAUUUUUCUAUGGUGGGAGGGACCACGGCAAAGCAGGAACGGAGCAGCCAUCACCCACCACGUGACCAACAGGCAUCUCGGAUUUCCCAGAGCAGCAUAACCCCGCUCCUGUGCUGCAGAGAAGAUGUAGUACUGGGAAUUGCCCUUGAAGGCUGGAGCGUAGUCACCAGUGGCCAGGGUGCACCACUGGAGGGAGGAGGACAGCAACACCAGGACUGCAACAAGUGGAAAAUGACGGCAUGGAACCCUCUUGGGAGACUUGUCCUUGCACCUGGUUUGCAAUGAAGAGGCUUCUGGCUUAAGGAAGGGGCUGUGGCGUGCUGCUGGCUGUGAGCUUGGACAGCACGUCCCCAUGGGCAUGCUGGGGCACUGAGGCACUGUGCUAAGCAAUGGUGCAGUGUAUUUUCCCACUAAUAGAGCUGUCCUAGCAUGGAGCAAGUAUUGCCCUGUACUCCGUGUUCAUCUCGAAUGACAGGAACAGGAUGCCCAAAGUGCGGGUUUCACAAAGGGCAGGACCUUGGGCUUUGCUUUCUGAGCUCUUUUGAUGUUUUCACACAUGGUUUGUGGGACUUCUUUGACUCCUGCUUGCCAUUCUGUCCUCUGAUUAACUAACGAGACGUAUGAUGAAGCCAUGACAUGCACAUGAAAUGGCAGGGCCACCGAGCACUUCAGCGUGGCAUUGCCCUCAGGCACACUGAAAGCAGCAGGAGUGUGGCAAGCUUUCAUAGAUAAUGUGCUAACAUACAUUGAAGUAUGAACAACAAAUUCCCUUCCCAUGCAUUUAAAAGUGUGUUGUCUGGUGCUCAUCCUACACUGGACUUUACCUCUGCCUCACCAAAUCAGUGUAAUUACUUACAUUUUACAGCAACAAAGGUGAACUUUUCAGCUAAAAGAGAAAAGGCUUAAACAAAGCCUAGAUAAUAACAUGCUAGUUUUAUAGCAAGACAGAGCACAAGUUUUCUCAGUGAUAGAUUUCACUAGUCAACUUCUGAACAGCAAGUGGUAACACCAGCUGCCUGCUACAAGUAGCAAAAUUAGAUGGAUGAUCCCUUUAUCUCCUGUCUCCUGUUAACACUCCUCAGGGAUCAAUGACUUUUUAAACUCAGUGGCUUGCAGAUGUGCCCUGACUGUUUAUCUAAAGGCCUUCAGGCUGCAUUUGGCCUCUGGAGAGGCAGAAAUUGCUGGGGACUGUGCCUUGGAUGAGCUCUCCCACACAGAAAAGUGCAGGGUCAGACUAUGGGCUAGGUCCAUCCACAGCAAAGUGGGAGUCAGCAAGCCUCCCCUC
rnacentral:lncRNA from 1 species